rnacentral:rRNA from 1 species
CAGGCUUAACACAUGCAAGUCGAGGGGCAUCAGGAAGAAAGCUUGCUUUCUUUGCUGGCGACCGGCGCACGGGUGAGUAACACGUAUCCAACCUGCCCUUUACUCGGGGAUAGCCUUUCGAAAGAAAGAUUAAUACCCGAUAGCAUAAUGAUUCCGCAUGGUUUCAUUAUUAAAGGAUUCCGGUAAAGGAUGGGGAUGCGUUCCAUUAGGUUGUUGGUGAGGUAACGGCCCACCAAGCCUUCGAUGGAUAGGGGUUCUGAGAGGAAGGUCCCCCACAUUGGAACUGAGACACGGUCCAAACUCCUACGGGAGGCAGCAGUGAGGAAUAUUGGUCAAUGGGCGCUAGCCUGAACCAGCCAAGUAGCGUGAAGGAUGAAGGCUCUAUGGGUCGUAAACUUCUUUUAUAUAAGAAUAAAGUGCACUAUGUAUACUGUUUUGUAUGUAUUAUAUGAAUAAGGAUCGGCUAACUCCGUGCCAGCAGCCGCGGUAAUACAUGAGGAUCCGAGCGUUAUCCGGAUUUAUUGGGUUUAAAGGGAGCGUAGGUGGACUGGCAAGUCAGUUGUGAAAGUUUGCGGCUCAACCGUAAAAUUGCAGUUGAUACUGUCAGUCUAGAGUACAGUAGAGGUGGGCGGAAUUCGUGGUGUAGCGGUGAAAUGCUUAGAUAUCACGAAGAACUCCGAUUGCGAAGGCAGCUCACUGGACUGCAACUGACACUGAUGCUCGAAAGUGUGGGUAUCAAACAGGAUUAGAUACCCUGGUAGUCCACACAGUAAACGAUGAAUACUCGCUGUUUGCGAUAUACAGUAAGCGGCCAAGCGAAAGCAUUAAGUAUUCCACCUGGGGAGUACGCCGGCAACGGUGAAACUCAAAGGAAUUGACGGGGGCCCGCACAAGCGGAGGAACAUGUGGUUUAAUUCGAUGAUACGCGAGGAACCUUACCCGGGCUUAAAUUGCAGUGGAAUGAUGUGGAAACAUGUCAGUGAGCAAUCACCGCUGUGAAGGUGCUGCAUGGUUGUCGUCAGCUCGUGCCGUGAGGUGUCGGCUUAAGUGCCAUAACGAGCGCAACCCUUAUCUUCAGUUACUAACAGGUUAUGCUGAGGACUCUGGAGAGACUGCCGUCGUAAGAUGUGAGGAAGGUGGGGAUGACGUCAAAUCAGCACGGCCCUUACGUCCGGGGCUACACACGUGUUACAAUGGGGGGUACAGAAGGCAGCUACCUGGUGACAGGAUGCUAAUCCCAAAAGCCUCUCUCAGUUCGGAUCGAAGUCUGCAACCCGACUUCGUGAAGCUGGAUUCGCUAGUAAUCGCGCAUCAGCCACGGCGCGGUGAAUACGUUCCCGGGCCUUGUACACACCGCCCGUCAAGCCAUGGGAGCCGGGGGUACCUGAAGUACGUAACCGCAAGGAGCGUCCUAGGGUAAAACUGGUGACUGG